UACGUAGGGACCAAGCGUUGUUCGGAUUUACUGGGCGUAAAGGGCGCGUAGGCGGUUUAACAAGUCACUUGUGAAAUCUCCGGGCUUAACCCAGAACGGCCAAGUGAAACUGUUGUGCUAGAGUGCAGAAGGGGCAAUCGGAAUUCUCGGUGUAGCGGUGAAAUGCGUAGAUAUCGAGAGGAACACCAGAGGUGAAGACGGGUUGCUGGGCUGACACUGACGCUGAGGCGCGAAAGCCAGGGGAGCAAACGGG
rnacentral:rRNA from 1 species